AAACGAUUACCGAUUACAAAUGGACGAAACUGGUAUGUUUGAUUCGGAUGAGGAUUUAACAGAAAGAGAAAUGACAGCUCAAGAUAUCCUUAAAAGUUUAUCAAAGGAUUCUAAGACAACGACAACGGUGCAAAACAAUUACAAUAUCAUCACCAGCAAUGCAACUUUCCAAAAAGACUGCUUGGUAGAGGCCUUUACUGCAACCGCC